ensembl:lncRNA
GAAACCAAAAAGAUAGCUACAAUUACUGUUUGCUCAGGCAAGAACGAUUAGCACAUUCUGUGGGCUGUUGACCCAACUGCUUCCUGUCAUACUUCUGCUUUCGUUGGCUAAGGGGUUCGGCUGGAGUCCAGCCCACGUUCACUAUGUUCCUGCAUCAUAACAGCCAGCGUUUGUGCAGUGGACGAGGGGAGAUCCUCUUGCCUCUGAGACUAUACAGCAGCCCAUAUGGACUGACUUCGACAUGCAAAAGAAGAAAGUUCAUCACCCCAACAUAGGAAGGAAGACAUCUUUCUACUGUACCAGAGACCUCCUGAUUCACUCAGGAUAUACAGGUCCUAAGAGGCUGUGGGUGUGACUUGAGGCCAGGGGUUGAGAAGUCUAAGAAUAGUCACCAGUCAUCAUAUGCUUUUGUCUUCAUUUUGUUGUUGUUGUUGUUGUUCUGGUUGUUUUGUUUUGUUUUGUUUUUGAGAUAUGGUUUCUCUGUGUAACCUUGGCUAUCCUGGAACUCUCUCUGUAGACUAGGCUGGCCUCGAACUCACAGAGAUACACUUGGCUCUAUCUCCCUGACUGAGUGCUGUGAUUAAAGGUGUGUACCACCACUGCUUGACAGCACCAGUCAUCUGUUAAUGGGAGUGGCAAGGAGUUCUUCCCAAGGGAAUGAAAGGAGACCCUUAUGCAAAUGCCUGAUCCCAGGAAUAGGACAGCUGGGGAGCAGACACUUAAUGGCACUGCCAUUUCGCCCCUCCUAACUUGCCCAAAGGGCAAGGUGCUGACACCUCAGUCUUUUCCUAUGGUAACGCACCUUUCUGAUUUCUCUGUAUUUAUUAAUUAACUGCACUCUUGCCUUUAAUGGGCUCAGGCUCCCUCAGGCUUUGCAUCUGAAUUGUAGGCAUUUCAUCCUUGCCAUCCGGGUGCCUAGUAAACAUUUUAACAUUCCUGUCUUGGUGUCCUUAGGAGGGCACAGUGGAAUUCUUGGUCCCCUGGUGUUACGAUAAAUCUUUCCACCAAAAGCCACCCAAGCCCUACUGCCUCGUGGGCAGUCUCCACCAGCCGCCUGCGUUCUGCUCGCCGAGUUAGGGCCCAAAUUAAUGCACAGAGACGUGUAUUAGGUACAAUGCUGCUUGGCCAAUUACUAGGAUUUCUCAUCUGUUAGCUCAGUCUUAAUUAUCAUAAAUCUAUAUAUGUUAUAAGACUUACCUUAUCGGACACCUUCCAUUGGCAUCCCCCCCUUGCCGGUGGAUCACAUCACGCCACUGAAGGAAGCUCAGAGGGAAAAAAGGGACCACUUCCUACUUCUCCUUCCUUAAAUAUGAGUCUCCUUGCUCUGUCACUUCCUGGCGGGAUCAUCACUUCUCUACUACAUUUCCCAGAAUCCUCCUCGACUCCUAGUCCUGACUAACUUGCUGCCUCAUUGUCCAAACAGUACUUUAUCAUCCAGUAAGACAAACACAUACACAGAAGCACUUCCCUCAUCACCCUGGUGUCAGGAAUUUUGUUUUUACCCCAAAGAAUUAUUUUGUUUAGAUAGGCUAGGCUACCAUUAUAUACAUUUUUAUCCUCUACCAAAGCCCACAUGAAAUUUUGCAAAGGGAAAGAAUUGAUAUUGAGAACCAUUAGGAAUGAAAGUAAAAAGGUGCUGGACAAGUGUUUUUCUGCAAUGUUGAAAUUCUGGAGUUUUUUCAAAUGGCAAUGGUCACCAAGUGGUCCAUGCCACGUCCCUUCUACUAUAUACUUAAUAAAGUGAAGAAAUGAAUGAAUAAAU